CAUCGUCAGCGUUUAUAGUAUUAGUGCUAAUUAUGAUGUGAUUAUAUAUAAUCCUUGUGGUUAUUAUUAUUGCACUUAUGUGUAUUAUUUUAACUAUUUAUGCCGGCGUGCACUUCUCCUCUUGUAGAACGUUGCGACCUGUUAAAUAUUUGUCUAUGAGCUGCAUGGUUGACUUGUGUAUUUUUAAUAUGUGAGACCUGUGGAUUAUCUGACAAACUAUUUGACAGUCUUGAAUAUGGUAUUGAGCCGCAAUAUUAUUUGCGUUAAAUUUAGAUACAAGUUAAGUUAUUUUUAAACAUUGCGGAUAUAUACCGUCGUUUGAAUUAACCAACUGUUAGUAUCUAAAACUUUAACUGGCUUAAUUAUUACCAGUCAGCAAUGCUACUGCUUUGGGUACUUACAGGACCCGUCUUGAAACACGGACCAAGGAGUCUAACAUGUGCGCAAGUCAUUGGGAUUUUUUUUAUAUAAAACAAACCUAAAGGCGUAAUGAAAGUAAAGAUUGUCUUUAAGGCAAUUGAGGGAAGAUGGGUUAUAUCACGAUAUAAUCCCGCAUUCCCAGGACGUCUUAUUCUCAUU
rnacentral:rRNA from 1 species